rnacentral:rRNA from 1 species
AUUGAACGCUGGCGGCAGGCCUAACACAUGCAAGUCGAGCGAGCGGCGGACGGGUGAGUAAUGUAUGGGGAUCUGCCCGAUAGAGGGGGAUAACUACUGGAAACGGUGGCUAAUACCGCAUACUAUCGGAUGACCCCAUAGGGGAUUAGCUAGUGGGGGGGGUAAAGGCUCACCUAGGCGACGAUCUCUAGCUGGUCUGAGAGGAUGAUCAGCCAAACUGGGACUGAGACACGGCCCAGACUCCUACGGGAGGAAGCAGUGGGGAAUAUUGGACAAUGGGCGAAAGCCUGAUGCAGCCAUGCCGCGUGUAUGAAGAAGGCCUUCGGGUUGUAAAACACUUUCAGCGAGGAGGCGUUACUCGCAGAAGAAGCACCGGCUAACUCCGUGCCAGCAGCCGCGGUAAUUC